rnacentral:rRNA from 1 species
GUCUGCGCGAGAUAUAAGAUGUGCAGUCUGGCCUGCCCCCUGAUUUUUAAAGGGCCGCGGUAUUUGAACCGUGCUAAGGUAGCAUAAUAAACAGUCUCUUAAUUGGGGUCUAGUAUGAAUGGUCGGACGUAAGGUAAGCUGUUUUAGCCGUGAAGAUCGAAUUUUACUUUUAAGUAAAAAGGCUUAAAUUAAAUGGUGGGACGAUAAGACCCUAUAAAGCUUUACAUUAUAUUUAUUAGUUGGGAGAUUUAAGGUUUCUUAUGCUUAUUAGAUAAAAUGUUUCAUUGGGGCGAUGAGAAUAUAAAGUAAUAACUGUUUUUAUUAAGAAAUAUGUGUGUAUAGGUGAAUUGAUCCUUUUUAUAGAUUAUAAGAUUUAAGUUACUUUAGGGAUAACAGCGUGAUUUUUCUUGAGAGUUCAUAUCGACAGAUGUAGUUGCGACCUCGAUGUUGAAUUAAAAUAUCCCCAAGGUGUAGCAGUUUUGGGAGGUGGGUCUGUUCGACCUUUAAAAUUUUACAUGAUUUGAGUUCAGACCGGCGUG